rnacentral:lncRNA from 1 species
CCAUCUCCUGCUGUGAGGUAAAAGUAGAUCAGCACCUGUGAAGAGGCUCUCCAUCACUGCAUGGCCAGAAAUGGCCUCUUUAAUCAGAACUUGGAGGGUAUUUCAGUUCUACAAGAGCCAAGAGUUUAAAGAUAUAAAAUAGUAGUGUGAAGGAAAGAAAAAGAAGUUUUUCUGUCAUUUUAACGGUUUUAAAUCUCACUUCAGUAGCAUUUUCAAGCUUAGAAGGUGAGAUGGAAGGAAUUCCAAAGGGAAGGUUUAAUCCACUUUACAUAUCUGGUGACAGAAUUCAUGCGUAAUCUAGAAGAAAUGGGAAGAUGCUUUCUUCAAGCUAGUCCUCAUUCUGCCUUAUGGUAAGUCCUUUUUCAUUCAAAGUAGUUGUGUUUUCUUUCCAUGCCAUAACUUUGUUG